GGAAAGCCUGACGGAGCAACGCCGCGUGAGGGAUGAAGGCCUCUGGGCUGUAAACCUCUUUUCUCAAGGAAGAAGACCUGACGGUACUUGAGGAAUAAGCCACGGCUAAUUCCGUGCCAGCAGCCGCGGUAAUACGGGAGUGGCAAGCGUUAUCCGGAAUUAUUGGGCGUAAAGCGUCCGCAGGCGGCCUCGUAAGUCUGUCGUUAAAGCGUGGAGCUUAACUCCAUUUCAGCGAUGGAAACUGCGAGGCUUGAGUGUGGUAGGGGCAGAGGGAAUUCCCGGUGUAGCGGUGAAAUGCGUAGAUAUCGGGAAGAACACCAGUGGCGAAGGCGCUCUGCUGGGCCAUAACUGACGCUCAUGGACGAAAGCCAGGGGAGCG
rnacentral:rRNA from 1 species